GCGCCCGUAGCUCAGGUGGACAGAGCGACGGUUUCCUAAACCGUGUGCCAGGGGUUCGAGUCCCUUCGGGCGCGCCA
rnacentral:tRNA from 1 species